rnacentral:rRNA from 1 species
UGCGCAGGCGGCUUAUUAAGUCAGUGGUGAAAUCUCUCGGCUCAACCGAGAAACUGCCAUUGAAACUGAUAAGCUUGAGUGUAGUUGUAGUAGGCGGAAUAUAGCAUGUAGCGGUGAAAUGCUUAGAUAUGCUAUAGAACACCGAUCGCGAAGGCAGCUUACUAAACUAUCACUGACGCUCAUGCACGAAAGCGUGGGGAGCAAACAGGAUUAGAUACCCUGGUAGUC